rnacentral:rRNA from 1 species
GGGUUGUGAGGUUAAGCGACUAAGCGUACACGGUGGAUGCCCUGGCAGUCAGAGGCGAUGAAGGGCGUGCUAAUCUGCGAUAAGCGCCGGUAAGGUGAUAUGAACCGUUAUAACCGGCGAUACCCGAAUGGGGAAACCCAGUGUGACUCGUCACACUAUCAUUAACUGAAUCCAUAGGUUAAUGAGGCGAACCGGGGGAACUGAAACAUCUAAGUACCCCGAGGAAAAGAAAUCAACCGAGAUUCCCCCAGUAGCGGCGAGCGAACGGGGAGGAGCCCAGAGCCUGAAUCAGCAUGUGUGUUAGUGGAAGCGUCUGGAAAGGCGCGCGAUACAGGGUGACAGCCCCGUACACAAAAGCGCAUGUGCUGUGAGCUCGAUGAGUAGGGCGGGACACGUGGUAUCCUGUCUGAAUAUGGGGGGACCAUCCUCCAAGGCUAAAUACUCCUGACUGACCGAUAGUGAACCAGUACCGUGAGGGAAAGGCGAAAAGAACCCCGGCGAGGGGAGUGAAAAAGAACCUGAAACCGUGUACGUACAAGCAGUGGGAGCCCCACCACCAAAGCAUUUGCUGUACCGCGUUGA